UACGGAGGGUGCAAGCGUUAUCCGGAUUCACUGGGUUUAAAGGGUGCGUAGGCGGGUUGGUAAGUCCGUGGUGAAAUCUCCAAGCUUAACUUGGAAACUGCCGUGGAUACUAUCAAUCUUGAAUAUAGUGGAGGUGAGCGGAAUAUGUCAUGUAGCGGUGAAAUGCUUAGAUAUGACAUAGAACACCCAUUGCGAAGGCAGCUCACUAAGCCAUAACUGACGCUGAUGCACGAAAGCGUGGGGAGCAAACAGG
rnacentral:rRNA from 1 species